rnacentral:rRNA from 1 species
UACGUAGGGUGCAAGCGUUGUCCGGAAUUAUUGGGCGUAAAGAGCUCGUAGGCGGUCUGUCGCGUCGGCUGUGAAAACUCGGGGCUCAACUCCGAGCUUGCAGUCGAUACGGGCAGGCUAGAGUUCGGCAGGGGGAGACUGGAAUUCCUGGUGUAGCGGUGAAAUGCGCAGAUAUCAGGAGGAACACCGGUGGCGAAGGCGGGACUCUGGGCCGAUACUGACGCUGAGGAGCGAAAGCGUGGGGAGCGAACAGGA